UGAAACAAGUGGGUCCUAGAGUGCCCCUGAGUGCUCUUCGGGAAGAUGUACUCAUUUGAUAGAGCUCUCAUCCUUUUACUGUCUUCACCUGUACCUACAUCCAAGGAGUCGAAGAGUAACUAAGGACAAGAGUGAUGGCCAUAAUACAUCAUGCAGGCUCACAUUGAUUUAGUGCUGAGAACCAUGACGGGGCUCUCUUUGCAACACAAUUGGCAACUUGAAACAUAUAAUGCAAUGAAACAAGCAAGAUGAGAAAGGACUGAUAUCCAAUACCCUUUAAAGGAACAUUAGUAAUAUCUCUCCUAAUGGUGGAAUGCUAUAUUCCAAACGCCCAUGUUUCCAAAAGGAAAAUUGCUGGACAGCAAGGAUUGUGAAUGCAUCAGCUGAAGUCUCGGGCAGUAAGGAAGAGAAGACUUCAUAGCCAUCAUGUGUAGACUUAUGAUCAGUACCAUCCGGGAACCUGAUGCCUGAGAAGAAAGCGUCGGCAAGAUACAGAAGAUGGGCCACACCGAGAUGGGAACAAAGAAAGGUCUCAGAUGACACCAGAGUAAACUUUGAUGUGCUUUGAGAAAUGUCUUUUCUCUAAGUAUGGUGAUCGCUGUUUAAAUCCUGUGCUGGGAGGAUGGUUCAGUGGUUAAAGUGCUUGCUUGCAUCAAUAUAAGUCCCUGAGUUUGGAUGACAAGAACCCAUGUAAAAACCAGAUGUGGCGAGCCUGUGAUCCCAGCACUGUGGAAGCAGAGGCAAGGGGAUCCUCAGGGCUUCCUGGCCGACCAGUCUAGUUCCAGUUCCAGGUUCAACAAGAGGAACUACCUGAGAAAAUAACAUGGGAAGAGAAU
rnacentral:sRNA from 1 species